UACGUAGGGUGCAAGCGUUAAUCGGAAUUACUGGGCGUAAAGCGUGCGCAGGCGGCUUUGCAAGACAGAUGUGAAAUCCCCGGGCUUAACCUGGGAACUGCAUUUGUGACUGCAUGGCUAGAGUGCGGCAGAGGGGGAUGGAAUUCCGCGUGUAGCAGUGAAAUGCGUAGAUAUGCGGAGGAACACCGAUGGCGAAGGCAAUCCCCUGGGCCUGCACUGACGCUCAUGCACGAAAGCCUGGGGAGCGAACGGG
rnacentral:rRNA from 1 species